GGAAGGGUGACCGAGCGGCUUAAGGUGGUGGUCUUGAAAACCACUGUGCGGCAACGNNGGUUCGAAUCCUCUCCCUUCCG
rnacentral:tRNA from 1 species